rnacentral:rRNA from 1 species
CCUACGGGGGGCUGCAGUGAGGAAUAUUGCACAAUGGGGGAAACCCUGAUGCAGCAACGCCGCGUGAAGGAUGAAGGCUUUCGGGUUGUAAACUUCUUUUCUGGGGGAAGAGGAAGGACGGUACCCUAGGAAUAAGACACGGCUAACUACGUGCCAGCAGCCGCGGUAAUACGUAGGUGUCGAGCGUUAUCCGGAAUUACUGGGCGUAAAGGGCACGCAGGCGGCUGUUCAAGUUCGACGUGAAAUCUCCUGGCUUAACCGGGAGAAGCCGUUGGAAACUGAAUGGCUUGAGGCAAUGAGAGGGAUGCGGAAUUCCCGGUGUAGUGGUGGAAUGCGUAGAUAUCGGGAAGAACACCAGUGGCGAAAGCGGCAUCCUGGCAUUGAACUGACGCUCAUGUGCGAAAGCGUGGGUAGCGAACGGGCUUAGAUACCCCAGUAGUC